CCACCCUUUCUUAUGAUGCUGCAAGGAGGGCAGGUGGGCAGAGCCCCGUGCAUCCUGGGCUCAGGCCAGGGACCCAAGAGCUUGGGAGAAGCUGGUUCUCAGACUGAAGGCCAGAGCCCAGCACCUUGUCACCAUCCCGGGGAGCAUCAUGGCACACAACAACCAGAGCCAAGAGUCACACACCCUCCAGACCACGGUUGUCUGUGAGUUGCUGGGGAACCGGAGCAGCUGGGGACACUGGCACUACAACUGUGAUGGCCAGGACUCCCUUCUUAGCACACUUGAGUCUUUCAACUCCAGCAAAAGCCAGCCAGAACCAAGCAUAGCUGCAGAAGGAGAGAAGGGAAGGAAACAAUCCUUCCUGACCUAGAGCUGCGUCUACCCUCUCCGGAAACACCUGAAAGCUGGGGUGGGACCACGGCCCACCGUAGGUGUGAUAGGCUACAGCUAGAGAGUUGACUCCUCUAUUUGAGAUUGACAGGCCUCGGAAGUCAAAAUAAGUGGUUUCCUAGACCGGGUCGAGAGCAAGUCUCUAUUGGUCCCAACUGAGUUUUUUCAGCUGGUUUUUCAACCAAACAGCACCUCAUCUCCCAGUGAGGGGAAGGGAAGGCUGGGCUGAGAGCAGCAAGGCUGCUCAUCUCACCUCUCCCCACCCAGCCAUGCCAGCCGCCUCACCUGGUGGGGAGAGGUGGGCCUCACCUGGGUCCCCUGGCAGUGCUCUGUGAAGGGUCUUGACAUUGCACUGUAAUAAUAAAGGUGUGUGUGAAGUAUC
rnacentral:sRNA from 1 species